rnacentral:rRNA from 1 species
AGUGAACGCUGGCGGUAGGCCUAACACAUGCAAGUCGAACGGCAGCACAGUAAGAGCUUGCUCUUACGGGUGGCGAGUGGCGGACGGGUGAGGAAUACAUCGGAAUCUACUUUUUCGUGGGGGAUAACGUAGGGAAACUUACGCUAAUACCGCAUACGACCUACGGGUGAAAGCAGGGGAUCUUCGGACCUUGCGCGAUUGAAUGAGCCGAUGUCGGAUUAGCUAGUUGGCGGGGUAAGGGCCCACCAAGGCGCCGAUCCGUAGCUGGUCUGAGAGAAUGAUCAGCCACACUGGAACUGAGACACGGUCCAGACUCCUACGAGAGGCAGCAGUGGGGAAUAUUGGACAAUGGGCGCAAGCCUGAUCCAGCCAGACCGCGUGGGUGAAGAAGGCCUUGGGGUUGUAAAGACCUUUUGUUGGGAAAGAAAAGCAUCAGGUUAAUACCCCGCUGUUCUGACGGUACCCAAAGAAUAAGCACCGGCUAACUUCGUG